AGUGAACGCUGGCGGCAGGCUUUACACAUGCCAGUCGAACGGUAGCAGACGAACUGCUUGCCAUUAUGGGGGUGGGGGGGCGUAAGGCUCAGGAACCUGCCGGAAGGUGCUGGUUCGUGGAGCUAAAGGUUGGCCAAUACCGGAUGAUAUCUUAUGGGGCUAACGGGGGAAAGUGCAGGAAUGUUGGCCCUUGCGCCCUUGAAUCGGCCGAUGUCGGAUUAGCUAGUUGGCGGGGUAAAGGCCCACCAAGCCGACGAUCCGUAGCUGGUCUGAGAGGAUGACCCGCCACACUGGGACUGUGACACGGUCCUGACUCCUCCGGGAGGCCGCAGUGGGGAAUUUUGGACCAUGGGCGCAAGCCUGAUCCAGCUAUAGCGCGUGGGUGAAGAAGGCCCUCGGGUUGUAAAGCACUUUUGUGCGGAAGGAAAAGAAUCUGGUUAAUACCUACCGGUUGUGACGGUACCCAAAGAAUAAGCACCGGCUAACUUCGUG
rnacentral:rRNA from 1 species